GCUGGCGGCGUGCCUAAUACAUGCAAGUAGAACGCUGAAGGAGGAGCUUGCUCUUCUGGAUGAGUUGGGAACGGGUGAGUAACGCGUAGGUAACCUGCCUGGUAGCGGGGGAUAACUAUUGGAAACGAUAGCUAAUACCGCAUAACAGUAGAUGUUGCAUGACAUCUACUUGAAAGGUGCAAUUGCAUCACUACCAGAUGGACCUGCGUUGUAUUAGCUAGUUGGUGAGGUAACGGCUCACCAAGGCGACGAUACAUAGCCGACCUGAGAGGGUGAUCGGCCACACUGGGACUGAGACACGGCCCAGACUCCUACGGGAGGCAGCAGUAGGGAAUCUUCGGCAAUGGACGGAAGUCUGACCGAGCAACGCCGCGUGAGUGAAGAAGGUUUUCGGAUCGUAAAGCUCUGUUGUAAGAGAAGAACGAGUGUGAGAGUGGAAAGUUCACACUGUGACGGUAUCUUACCAGAAAGGGACGGCUAACUACGUG
rnacentral:rRNA from 1 species